rnacentral:misc_RNA from 1 species
GAAAUGGUCUGUGCAAGUGAAUAUCGCUCAUAUUUGAUCUUGAUAUGAGUGAUAGGAUUAUGAUCCUCUUGACACUUUCAUUUUCUGGCUGCAAGACUGAUGAACUUUUCAGGCACUGAUACGAUGUCCUCUACAAGAUUGUAUCUGUUGUCCUGAGCUACUAAUGAAUAUUCCAGUGGGUACCUGUUUGGAGUAGAGCACUAUUUAAUGAGUAGCAAUGUUGUAAUUUGAUCUAGUUUACCAAUCAGAGCAAUGCUUUGGAGUCUAUUUUUUCAAUGUGAUUAUCCUGCUUUGUGCAUUGCAAAAUAAAGAAGGUAAUGUGGGUGUUGUUAGACUCGGCUAUGGCUGGAGCCCAAAUCAAAAUCAGACCAGUUAAAUUUGGAUUUGGACCCAUGGUUCCAAAUUGGCUCAAAACCGCGACCCUAAGAGCUGGCCUCGGCCCUCUUUCUCGAACCUUAAACUGGAUCAGAACUGAUAAUUCGGCUCGAUUCAAUCAGAAGUGGAGGGUCCUGUUGAAUGUGGAUUGGGCUUAUAUAAUAAUAAUAAGCAAUUCAUUCAGCCCAACAAUGAUAAGGACAUUGUAACUUAUUUUCAGAUGGAGUUGUCCCUUUAUUUGCUUAUACAGCUCUUG